rnacentral:rRNA from 1 species
UACGGAGGGUGCAAGCGUUAUCCGGAUUCACUGGGUUUAAAGGGUGCGUAGGCGGGCAGGUAAGUCCGUGGUGAAAUCUCUGAGCUUAACUCAGAAACUGCCAUGGAUACUAUUUGUCUUGAAUGUUGUGGAGGUAAGCGGAAUAUGUCAUGUAGCGGUGAAAUGCUUAGAUAUGACAUAGAACACCAAUUGCGAAGGCAGCUUACUACACAAAUAUUGACGCUGAGGCACGAAAGCGUGGGGAUCAAACAGGA